rnacentral:rRNA from 1 species
AGAGUUUGAUCAUGGCUCAGGACGAACGCUGGCGGCGCGCCUCAUACAUGCAAGUCGAACGAGGUCCAUGGGAGCUUGCUCCCGGAAGACUUAGUGGCGAACGGGUGAGUAACACGUGAGAAACCUACCCCGGAGUGGGGAAUAACCCGAGGAAACUCGGACUAAUACCGCAUACCUUCCAACGGUCGCAUGGCCGAUGGAAGAAAGAAUUUCGCUCUGGGAGGGUCUCGCGGCCUAUCAGCUUGUUGGCGGGGUAACGGCCCACCAAGGCAACGACGGGUAGCUGGUUUGAGAGAACGAUCAGCCACACUGGAACUGAGACACGGUCCAGACUUCUACGGAAGGCAGCAGUAGGGAAUCUUGCGCAAUGGGCGAAAGCCUGACGCAGCGACGCCGCGUGCGGGAUGACGGCCCUAGUGGUUGUAAACCGCUUUCAGCAGGGACGAAAAUGACGGUACCUGCAGAAGAAGUCCCGGCUAACUACGUGCCAGCAGCCGCGGUAAUACGUAGGGGACAAGCGUUGUCCGGAUUCAUUGGGCGUAAAGAGCUCGUAGGCGGUUCAGUAAGUUGGGUGUGAAAGCUCCGGGCUCAACCCGGAGAGGCCACCCAAUACUGCUGUGACUAGAGUCCAGUAGAGGAGCGUGGAACUCCUGGUGUAGCGGUGAAAUGCGCAGAUAUCAGGAAGAACACCAGCAGCGAAGGCGGCGCUCUGGGCUGGAACUGACGCUGAGGAGCGAAAGCAUGGGUAGCAAACAGGAUUAGAUACCCUGGUAGU